rnacentral:lncRNA from 1 species
GCAGAAUCACUGAAGAAUAAGACCAAUGAAUGAGCUCACAAUUAAACCUCAAUAAGCCUAUAAGAAGAUCUGAAGGAUGGAAAAGCUGGAUUUUGGCCAAGGUAGUGAAAUUAGAACAUCUUCAAAGCUCAUGUUCCAUCCUCAGUGACUGAUCUGGCCCACAAAACAAUGUGCUUCAAAUGGGCUGGCAUCAUCCUGGGGCUUCCACAUCACAAGAACAAGACCGAUCUUCAUGUUAUUU